AUUGAACGCUGGCGGCAUGCCUUACACAUGCAAGUCGAACGGUAACAGGUCUUCGGAUGCUGACGAGUGGCGAACGGGUGAGUAAUACAUCGGAACGUGCCCAGACGUGGGGGAUAACGAGGCGAAAGCUUUGCUAAUACCGCAUACGAUCUAAGGAUGAAAGCAGGGGACCGCAAGGCCUUGCGCGCUUGGAGCGGCCGAUGGCGGAUUAGGUAGUUGGUGGGAUAAAAGCUUACCAAGCCGACGAUCUGUAGCUGGUCUGAGAGGACGACCAGCCACACUGGGACUGAGACACGGCCCAGACUCCUACGGGAGGCAGCAGUGGGGAAUUUUGGACAAUGGGCGAAAGCCUGAUCCAGCAAUGCCGCGUGCAGGAUGAAGGCCUUCGGGUUGUAAACUGCUUUUGUACGGAACGAAAAGGCUCUGGCUAAUACCUGGGGCACAUGACGGUACCGUAAGAAUAAGCACCGGCUAACUACGUG
rnacentral:rRNA from 1 species